UAUCUCUGUAGAGUCUGCAUAUCAAUAAGCGGAGGAAAAGAAACUAACUAGGAUUCCCUCAGUAACGGCGAGUGAAGCGGGAAGAGCUCAAAUUUGAAAUCUUCAAGGUUUUACCUUGACGAAUUGUAGUUUAAAGAAGUGUUUUCUGUUGGAGUUUUGGUAAAAGUUCUUUGGAAUAGGACAUCAUAGAGGGUGAGAAUCCCGUAUUUGACCAUUAUUUCCAGCUUUGUGAUACACUUUCAAAGAGUCGGAUUGUUUGGGAAUGCAGUCCAAAAUGGGUGGUGAAUUUCAUCUAAAGCUAAAUAUUGGCGAGAGACCGAUAGCGAACAAGUACCGUGAGGGAAAGAUGAAAAGAACUUUGAAAAGAGAGUUAAACAGUACGUGAAAUUGUCAAAAGGGAAGCGUUUGACACCAGUGUUGUUUUCUCGAAAAUCAAUUAAAAAAGACUGGAUUUUGUGUUGUAUUGACUUUAUCAGCUUUCUGCACUCUUUUCUUGUCUUUUUUAAUGCACUUUUCGUUUAACAAGUCAACAUCAAUUUCUUUUGUUGUAAAAGAGUCAUUGGAAGGUGGCUUUCUUUUCGGAGAAAGUGUUUAUAGCCUUUGGCUUCUGCAAUCGGAGAGAUUGAGGUCUGCAGCGUAGAUCCUUCGGGGUUAGAUACAUUUGUGCUAAGUUAUAGCCUUUCAUAGACAACUUGUUGACUAUGAUCAGUCAUGUAGCUUACUCGCUUAUGCUAUUUUACCUACGCUUAGGAUGUUGAAUCAUCACACAUCUCU
rnacentral:rRNA from 1 species